rnacentral:lncRNA from 1 species
GAACACCCCUAGGAUACACCUAAUUUGAAAUGAAUGAGAAUUUUUCUGGAUCAGGGUUUAAUUCUGAUAUCAGGAAUGGUCUUAACUUCUGGCAAGCUGAUUUUCAAUGAGCCCUGUGCAAGAUUUCUGCCAGCACAAAAGUUCCAGGUGAUGUUAUUACCUUCAGAGAACAUCUCAAUUGAAUCUACAGUUCCUUUAGUAACUGCGUCAGGAGUGCAAGGUACAAUGAAGGUGCUAUUUAAAUGGAUUGUGCAGCACCACUGUAUGUGGGAAAGACAUGGGAAACAGCUAGACUGAAAAUGCAGCCAAAGACAAAACAUUCCUGCAGUGAUGUGUGUGUUAGACACCAAGGAUGCAUCACCCAGAGGUCCAGAUUUCCUGCACUGACUUGUAAAAGCCAGCAACAAGCUGAGUUGGAGGGCCAGCCACAGGCGGCCCAAGUGGAGGUGAGUGUAUGUUUAACUGAAGAAAGAAAAAUCUUCAGGGCAGAUGUGCUCAGUAAAGUUAAAGAAAAGACCCUAGGAAAGAAAUAUUUCACCAAAGUGUUUCCAACACAGGCUACACACGUUAUCCUUUCUGUGCUGUUCCUGGAAAUAAUCUGUGCUCCUCUGGCUUUAUUCAUGCAAUGAAUACAUUUCUUCAGGAAAAACAAUAAAAGUAUUUACCAAAAAGUUUUCUGUUUCCUA